CUGUGCGUAAACAAGCCGUAGGCGAGACGCCUUUCUCAGUCAAGUAUUCGUACCUUCACAUAACCAGUUUCUUCUUUUUGAUCAUCAUUUUGAAAGAAAGUUGACAUUUAAACUUCACCCUGUAGUGAGCUACCCAAAGUUCACCUCUUAAGUUUCACGCAGGAGUUUUGUUUCUCUAUGCUGGGAAUGAUGAGGGCCAGAACGGAGCUGCCAGGGCCUGAACGCUGUUUGAUAUAUUUUGCCCCCUUGCUGCCUGGCUUGGAAGCAACAUUUUUCUGCAUUUCUGAAUGCCCGGUUUCUGAAAGCAAUUAAGGAUCUUACAUUUUAAGGAAUGAACAAACUACCAUUUCCCCAGCAGUUAUGCAGCCCUGCCUGGCCCUUUGUGCACCUGCUUGCUCCUUGCAACAGCCCCGGGAGCGGCAAAGGCAGUACUUACUAGGAAAGUCAUGGAAAGCUGGAUGGGCCUACUGGCUGGUGCCUGGGGGACGACUCAGACCCUGGGACAGGAGGGUUCCCACCCUGCCCAGCCAGCUCCUGGCCCCAGGAGUCCGUCCUCUCUCCUCCAAAUCUGGCCCCCGUCCCUUCCCUCUCUGGUCCUCCCUGUUUCACCUGCAGGGUGCUCAGUGCCCGGAACUUGGCGUAUCUGAGGUGGCCAGAGGCGCCAGCGGAGCAGGAUGUCGGAGCUGCCACUCGCCUUCCACUGUGCUGUGAGAGCCACCGGGACACGUCAGCAUCUCCCCUGUUCUGAAAUCAACACCGAGACACACCGAGUCCCUCCGGAGGCAUCUGCAGAGGCAGCAACGCCACGCGAGGGCUGCCGACUCUCCAGCUCCAACAUUUCGUCCGGACCUCCCGGCAGCGCAGCGGGGGAUCCCCUCCCGUGAGGGGCCCGGAGGGGCUUCGAGAAGGCUGUCGCCUGAUGGGCUCCGUCAAGUUUCCCCCUGCAGACCCUCAUUCUACCAGUUUUGAUUCCAUUUUAAAUCUGACUUCCAAGUGGCACCCCUGCCGACGGUCAAAACGCCCCCUCUCCUGGUGUGUGCCCUCCAUCCCCGCUUCCUGGGGGCAGCCGGUUUCUUGCUGUCUGGACAACAGAGCUCUGCCAAUGCCACUUAUCUCGCCCGUCCAGGACUUUAUCACCAACUGUCCUACUUCCGACUCCAGCAAAGGAGCGACAGCGAGCACGUCUGUGCUUGGCUGUGACUAACAGGGCCUCUGAAUAAAGUGAAAAUAAUCCCACUUUAAGCUGCAAGAGGAAAGACCCACAGAAGGAAAGUCCUUCACGGACGGAGACCCAGGAUCCUGAAAUGCAGUGCGUCCCUUCAACGUUCUGAGAAUAAAAAUUUAAACAUGCAAGCCCCGGGAGGAAAAGCAAUUCCUAAAACAUGGCAGAAACAACAUAAAAAAAAUCUUGCUGUUGUUUUAAAAACUGACCUAAGACCAGGCAUGGUGGCUCACACCUGUAAUCCCAGCACUUUGGGAAGCCAAGGCGGGAGGAUCACUUGAGGCCAAAAGUUCAAGACCAGCCUGGGCAAUGUAGUGAGACCACCCCCCAUCUCUACAAACAAAUGUAAAAAUUAGCCAGACAUGGUGGUGUGCACCUGUGGUCCCAGCUACUUGGGAGGCUGAGGUGGGAGGAUGGCUUGAGCCCAGGAGGUUGAGGCUGCAGUGAGCUGAGAUUGUACCACUGCAUUCCAGCCUGGGUGACAGAGCAAGACCCUGUCUCAGGAAAAAAAAUAAAAAAAUAAAAAAUAAA